rnacentral:rRNA from 1 species
GCUACCAUGCAGUCGACGGAAGAGAUGAAAGAGCUUGCUCUUUUAUUAAUUUCAGUGGCAAACGGGUGAGUAACACGUAAACAACCUGCCUUAAGGAUGGGGAUAACAGACGGAAACGACUGCUAAUACCGAAUACGUUCUAAGCAUCGCAUGGUGCAUAGAAGAAAGGGUGGCCUCUACAAGAAAGCUAUCGCCUUAAGAGGGGUUUGCGACUGAUUAGGUAGUUGGUGAGGUAACGGCUCACCAAGCCGACGAUCAGUAGCCGGUCUGAGAGGAUGAACGGCCACACUGGAACUGAGACACGGUCCAGACUCCUACGGGAGGCAGCAGUGGGGAAUCUUCCGCAAUGGACGAAAGUCUGACGGAGCAACGCCGCGUGAACGAAGAAGGUCUUCGGAUUGUAAAGUUCUGUGAUUCGGGACGAAAGGGUUUGUGGUGAAUAAUCAUAGACAUUGACGGUACCGAAAAAGCAAGCCACGGCUAACUACGUGCCAGCAGCCGCGGUAAUACGUAGGUGGCAAGCGUUGUCCGGAAUUAUUGGGCGUAAAGCGCGCGCAGGCGGUUUCUUAAGUCCAUCUUAAAAGCGUGGGGCUCAACCCCAUGAGGGGAUGGAAACUGGGAAGCUGGAGUAUCGGAGAGGAAAGUGGAAUUCCUAGUGUAGCGGUGAAAUGCGUAGAGAUUAGGAAGAACACCGGUGGCGAAGGCGACUUUCUAGACGAAAACUGACGCUGAGGCGCGAAAGCGUGGGGAGCAAACAGGAUUAGAUACGUGGGUUA